GAUCAUGGCUCAGGAUGAACGCUGGCGGCGUGCCUAAUACAUGCAGGUCGAACGCUUCACUUCGGUGAAGAGUGGCGAACGGGUGAGUAAUACAUAAGUAACCUGGCAUCUACAGGGGGGAUAACUGAUGGAAACGUCAGCUAAGACCGCAUAGGUGUAGAGAUCGCAUGAACUCUAUAUGAAAAGUGCUACGGGACUGGUAGAUGAUGGACUUAUGGCGCA
rnacentral:rRNA from 1 species